rnacentral:pre_miRNA from 1 species
UAUGGCACUGGUAGAAUUCACUGUGUGGUUGUGGGUUCAGUGAAUUGCCAUCGGGCCAUACA